GCGUGGGAUUAUUGGAUGAAGGUGUUGGUGAUUGGAAAGGAGAAGGAUUAGGUUGGGACUGUGGAAUUGUGCUAGAGGAACCAGGAGAUGGAAUCUGAACAGAAUUGCCUCCAUAGGGACUGCUUGCAUUAUUCAUAGAACUUUGUUGUCUUGAAUUCAUAGAAUUCUGGUGGAGAAUCCCAGCAAUAGCACUGGCAGAAGUAGACA
rnacentral:misc_RNA from 1 species